rnacentral:rRNA from 1 species
CCUACGGGAGGCAGCAGUGGGGAAUCUUGCGCAAUGGGGGAAACCCUGACGCAGCGACGGCGCGUGAGGGAUGAAGGCCUUCGGGUCGUAAACCUCUGUCAGGGGGGACGAAAUCCUCCCCCGCUAAUAGCGGGGGAAAUUGACGGUACCCCCGAAGGAAGCACCGGCUAACUCCGUGCCAGCAGCCGCGGUAAGACGGAGGGUGCAAGCGUUGCUCGGAAUCACUGGGCGUAAAGAGCGUGUAGGCGGCUCUUUAAGUCGGAGGUAAAAGUCCUCGGCUCAACCGAGGAAGGGCAUCCGAAACUAGUGAGCUAGAGUACGGGAGAGGGAGGUGAAAUUCCCGUUGUAGAGGUAAAAUGCGUAGAUAUCGGGAGGAACACCUGUGGCGAAGGCGGCCUCCUGGACCGAUACUGACGCUGAGACGCGAAAGCGUGGGGAGCGAACAGGAUUAGAUACCCCUGUAGU